rnacentral:rRNA from 1 species
AUACGUAGGGUGCGAGCGUUGUCCGGAAUUACUGGGCGUAAAGAGCUCGUAGGUGGUUUGUCGCGUCGUCUGUGAAAUUCCGGGGCUUAACUCCGGGCGUGCAGGCGAUACGGGCAUAACUUGAGUACUGUAGGGGAGACUGGAAUUCCUGGUGUAGCGGUGAAAUGCGCAGAUAUCAGGAGGAACACCGGUGGCGAAGGCGGGUCUCUGGGCAGUAACUGACGCUGAGGAGCGAAAGCAUGGGUAGCGAACAGGAUUAGAUACCCUGGUAGUCCAUGCCGUAAACGGUGGGCGCUAGGUGUAGGGGUCUUCCACGACUUCUGUGCCGUAGCUAACGCAUUAAGCGCCCCGCCUGGGGAGUACGGCCGCAAGGCUAAAACUCAAAUGAAUUGACGGG